ensembl:lncRNA
GUCAAACUAAAGGCGAGGAGGAGACGCGGCCGGGACGCGGUCUCCGGGCAGCUCGGGCCGGGCCGGGUUGGGCCGCAGGCGGCCUCGUGAGCCGGGGCGGCGGCUGCAGGCAGCGGGGUGCCGUGGGCGGGCAGGGCCGGGCGGGGCGAGGCGAGGCGGCCGCUCCUCGCCCUCUGGGCACGGCCGCCCCCCGCCGCAUCCCCUCACAGUGCUGGAGUGGGGUUCUGUGCUUUACGUGCCCCAGGGCAUGGCUCAAUCUAGCAAACCCUGGAGUGAAGCUGCUAUCAGCGUGUGGAGACUGAGUGCCACCGACAGCCUGUUGUCUGUUCGUGCUCAGAGAGUUAUGUGGAAGGACAGGAGUGACUCAGUAAUAGGAAGUAUUAGUUGCACUGAGGCAAAACCAGGUGAAGUUAUUACUUGGUUACUCUGUUACCUUGGGUCAUUGUUUUGCAUCAGUCCACUGUUUGCUUAUGAAUCAGAAAUAGUAGUGCUUUCCAAAAACAUACUGUGAAUAAACACUAAUGAGCUCAAAAUGCUUAUCAGCUGUAGUAAUAACAGGUAGAUGUGUUGUUUCUCUAUAGUGGCAUAGACAGUGCAGCCAGGAUUGUUUUGCUUGCAAGCUCUUCCUGUGGCAGUAACUUUGCACAGAAGUAGACUUUUGCUUCAAAAGACAUUUUAUAACUCAUGAUACUGUGUGAUAUGCAAUGUUAGAAACAUAGAAUCAUGGAAUGACUUAGGUUGGAAGGGACUUUAAGGGUUAUUGAAUUCCAACCCCCUCCUGCGGGCUGUGUUAAGUCAUAUUUCGUAUUUUUAUGCAGAAAGUUCUCUAAUACGCUUUUAAAUAACCGCCAUUCCACAGUGCAAAUAGUUUGGGGUUUUUUCUCCUGUGUUCUUAAAACAGCACCAGUACUGCUAAGGAAGCAGUGUCUGGUUGUCUCUGGGUGAGGUGAUAGACUGAGGCUUUUGAUAUGGAGUUGGAAGAGAGAAGUUCCAGUAUAUCUGCUCACAUCUUGGCGUGAUCAAGAAAUUACUUGGAACUGGUUUGUAACUCACUGUGCCACCACACAGCUAUACUUGCCAGGGUUGAGUAGUAUUGUUUACGAGGUGCUGUCUGGAGAUGCCUCUGUAUUUGCAAGAAAAUACUGAAGCAGGUGACAGUAAGUUCAUUACAACGAGCUGAGCAGUUUAGGAAACAGCAUUUUUAUUCUCACAUUAUAAGGUGAUCUACAUAGAAAAUCAAAUGCCUUAAGUAUGCCACUGGCAAGCACUUCAAUAGAGGAAUCUGAAAACUCCAUAGGAGUUGCCCGGAGUGGUUUGUGCCGCUCUCAAGAGCAGUGCUGCCACCACCAUAGCAGGUGAGCUGGAGCUGCUGCUCUCAGGAGUACUGAGCAGAGUUGGCUGAGUUUUCCUCUGCACUUUUGCUUUAUGCAAAUCAGAGCAGGUAGCUCGCUUGUCUGGUGUUCUUUGAGUUUGUUUUUGUUUAUUUUUUUGUUUUUCUGAUCUAUUCUAGAAAGAUACACCACAAAGAAGCACCAACUGCCUGGUAUCUUUAAGCUUUGCUUCUGAGAGUAUUUUGUUCUGUAGUUUAUCACUUGCCUGCUCAAGUUUGUUUGGAACUUCCAUACUGCUAAAUAGGACAACUGUUCUGUGUGAGGAGGAGGUGAGCACAACAGAAGACUUUUGUCUUCGGUUUUAACAACAAAACUGAAAGUUGCUCUGGCAAAAUGGCAAUUCAUUGUUAAUUCAUGAGAUGUAGGUGCUCUGGAAAAAUCAAAUACCAGUUUCAUAGCUACCCUUAGGCAUCUCUAAUUUAUGCAAGCAGGGCUUGCCAAGUAACUACUGAGUCUCACUGACCUUAGUAGGUUUGCAGAGGUCAUAUUUUAACACAGAUAAGUUAUGCUUGAACUAUUUUCUCAGUAGGUAUUAGGAGCAAGUGUUUGUGUACACAAUUACAUGCUUUUUGCCAAUCCUCCAUUACAUUUUCUGUUUUUCUUUAGAUUCUUGCUUGUAAGUUCUACAGUAAAUCCUAGAGUUUUUUUUUGUGUUUUUUCUUAAUCUGUUAUCUUAAGUAAGAAACGUGAGUUUUUGAGGACAGCUUCUUUUUUGGGGUCUCAGUAAAACAGAACAAACAAAGGUUUCAUAGACCGCCAGAAAGGCAGUUGUAGGAUCAGGGAAAGUCGGGGUAUGGGAAGCCAGAACAGCCCAAACGUGUGAGUGACAUCAGCAUUUUUCUGAGCCGUUUAUGCUGCUCACUUCUGUCGGUUCCCAGCAGUGCCUGUGUCUUAUGUAAGCUCGCACUGUACAUCCUGUCCUGCUGUUCUCAUGCAUGAAAAUCAUUGGUGUUAUCUUACUGUACGUUUUGAGAGCUGAGCAGUUACUGGCUACUUGUUGUCUCAAAUGUCUGCAUGCAAAUCUCUCACAAGCAUGCUGGAGAGAGCUAUGCCAAGAGCAUGGUGCUGUCCUCCUAGGAGACAUCAGAGGGGGAGUUCAAUAACUUGGGACAGCACUGAGCUGCUCUAUCUGGAGAACACCCUUCUAACCAUAAAGGGGAGCUGCUCUGUCUAAGAUUGAGUGUAAGACAUAAAUGAUCCUCCAAAGAAGCUUUUCUCAAAAAAAAAAAGAGCUUAUUUUCUGAAGACAACUUUGUCACUUGAACUAGAGAUGCUUCUUACCUUGACUGAAAAGGCAGACUAUGGGCACAAACUGGAAGACUCCUCAAGGUAAAACAGGAACAUGUCAUGUGGAGAUACCUGUAUCCUAUUUAAAAUGAUUUGUUUUAAUACUUUGUAGUAAAGUGUCUCCAGGACUCUACCCAUAGAUUAGCCAACCUGGUUUUGGUGCAGCUUUUUCCAGGGAAUAAGACUAAAAUUCCUUUCCUGUAGGAGAAACCAAAUUAGAGUUGAAUAGAGGAAGCUAUAAAAUCAGACCUAUUUACUGCAGGCAGCAAUAUUUGAGUUAAAUGUUAAACUCACUGAAUUAGUGUAAUCAACAUUUGACACCUCAGAAGAGGUAAUACUACUGUGGGAAUGAGGAAGGGCAUCAGCUAUUUGUGUGAUAUCAGACCUAAUAUGUAGCAUGUAUUCAUAUUUCUCCUUAAUUUGGAGAUCCAGGUAUUCAUCUUUCUCUUGUGGUCAGUGCAUGUUGCUGUAUCUCCUCUGCUGAAAAAGCAAAAAUUGCAGGGAAAAAAAAAUUCCAAAAAUAUAUGGCUAUACAUUAUACAGCAACAAUCUGUUAGAAGCCUAUUCUCAGAGAAGGCAAAAAUAUAGCUAAGGAUGCUAAUACUCUUCCUUCCUUUUUCUGUUCUGAUUGCAGGUAAGUCUACUGGUGGGGGUUUUUAUGAGGUGAGGGUAAUACAUUAUGACAAAUUGUUAGUGACAGAUGGAUUUUUUUUACUUAGCUUACUUCUAAAGCAAAAUGAUCUGGAUUAGCCACUUCCUGCCCCCCGAGGUGGCUGCACAACUUCUCAGGUUACCUAAAUUAAAGACUUAAUUUGACUCAGUAAGUUACUCUAUCAGGUUGAGAGCCAAGAAGGUGUUUUAUAAAUACAUGAUUUCUGCAUGCUGAGCAGUGUUGUUCAGUCAGAGGGAAGAGGAGAAUGGGGGGGGGGAGUCUUUAAUUGCUGCCUUCAGUUACCUAAUGGAUCAUGACAAGAAACCAGCUCUUUCUUGGUGUUGUGCAGCAAAAGGGUGAGAAGCACUGGGCACAAGAUGCAGCAAAGGAAAUUCCAGAUAGGUGUAAGGCAGAAGAAAAAAGUUAGACCUGUAGCUACACAGACGUGACUAGAUUGCUUGUAGAAGCUAUGAAAUAUCUUUGCUUGGGGAUGCUCAGAUUUUGAGCAGGGAGUUUGCUGUAGGUGAUUUCCAGAGAGCCUUCCAGAGGUCAUUUCCACUGUAAGAUGUUUUUGGUUUCCAUUUGGUGAUUAGUUCACGACUUUUCUUCACCGAGAAGGCUUAUCGUUCUGAGCUGUCUUUCUGAUCUUCGAUGGUAAUCACUUUUCAUGUCUCAUUUGUUAAAAUUAUGCUCACUAGAGUCAGAAAUGGUGUCUGUGGAGACAGUGCUUUUGUAAAGCAUGUAUUAACUGAAAGGUUCUGACUGCAUGUCUGUUUUACUGUAUUUGUCCAAGUAAAGACUUCCAAAAGUGAAACCAGCUUUGAAGGUUCUCUUACAGUGCUGUUUUUGGUGCUGUUUUUUCAACUUCAGUUAAUUUUAUGUAUUUACAGUUCACAGGACUAAUACUCAGCAGAAUAUUUUGGAGCAGAGUGAGCUAAGAAGUUGAAGACAGGUUGUAUUCUCUUUAAGAGAAAAAUUCUAGGGUGUGAACUUUGAUGCAGAUGUGCAACUUAAUGGUGUAUUCAAUUUCUGCCUACUGUUCCUUUGUUUUAAACUGCUUAUUUAAAAGCAUAAGAACACCCCUUCCUCUUUCUGUGUUUGACCCCCAGCAUUCUGCAUGCUCAGUAUACUCCAGCUAAUACUGAGAUUAUUUGGAUUGCAGGUGAAUGUCUGCUUUUUCAUGGGCUUUGGAGAAGGACAGUGAGCAGCCUUUGUAGUUGCUACUCCUGUAUAUUUUUGGGAAAUAAUGCAAGAAAUGAAUAGGGGCCAGUUUUGUCUUGCAUGCUGUGUCUGUUCUUGAGUUUGUUAGAUUGUAGUCAUUCUCUCUGAUGCAGUUCUAGAUUGAUGGUCAAUUAUUUUUACCUCGUAAACCUCCAUUCUUUGAAACGAGUGAAUCAUGGGCCAGAGUGUGUAGGACAGCUUUUUUCUUAUGCUUAGUCACAGGAGACUAAGCUUACAGUUUUAUUCUAACUUAGCUCCCCAAGAUAUGCAGAGCAACUGGGUGGAUGCUGUUCUUAAUUAUGAUCUGAACUUUAUUUUGGCUCGCACCAUCACUGUUUCAUUGUUUAUCUUCCUUUGGUAAGAUGAGAACAGUAUCUUAUGACAAAAACAUUUAGUUGUUUGGUUUUCUGUAAUGGUUAUGUAUGACAUUUGCAUCCUCACUGAAAUUUGGGCUUAGAUAUGUUAAUAGUGUACUGUUUUACACAUUCCCAUGCAUUCUUAAAAUAUGAGAUGCUUUUUUUGACAGCUCAAUUUAAAACUUUUUACUUCCUACACAGUGAAACUGUCAGUUUUAGUGUUUGCACAUAUGUAUAUAUUUAGUGUAUCCUUCUAGUAUUUGAAGAGAGCUUCUAAGCAGGAAGGGGAGUGACUUUUUACAUGGUCUGAUAGUGAUAGCUCAAGGGAGAAUGGCUUUAAACUAAAGGAGCGGAGAUUUAGGUUAGAUGUUGUGGAAAAAAAAUCCUUUCUCAGAGGAUGGUGAGGCACAGGAGCAGGAUGCCCACAGACAUUGUGGCUGCCCCAUCCUGGUGGUGUUCAAGGCUGAGUUGGAUGGGGCCCUGGGCAGCUUGAUCCAGUGAGUGGCAACCGUACGCGUGGCACAGAGUUGGAGCUUGGUUAUCUUUAAGGUUCCUUCCAAUGUAAGCCAUUCUGUGAUUAGUGAUUGUAAGAAGCAGAGCGUGUGGUUUCCUGAAAAUAUACAGGAAAUGCAGUUCUAAAACUACUUACAUAUGCUUCCUACUUCAUAAUUCAUUGUGCACUGUAAACUUCUAAUGCUAUAGCGAACUCUGUGGCUGUUAAAUGAUCAGACUGCCCUAUGUUAGGGCAGAUUGUAAUCUAUCUGAAUCACUGCGUGACAUUUAUGCUGUUGAAAUUGAAUUGGACUAUGUGAGAGCUGAAAGCUAUGGCACUUUAAAUUCAGCACUGAUUCAGACACUGUGUUUUACUCGGGGCAAAUAACUUAAUGUCUAAUACUCAGUUAUGUUCUGGUCAGUAGACGUGACUUAAAAUAAUUGGAGCAAUAGCAGGGAUCUGCUUUAACUUUCUUUUUCAGUUAGCUAUUUGUGCAUGAGAACUGAGACUUCUAAUUCACUGAGUAAUUGUAAUCAUGCUGAUCAUGGAAUGAGGAUAUCUUAAGAUAUGGGAAGAAAAUAAGCUCUGUGGGAAAUACAUAAGCUCUCUUUAGCUUCCUUGUUCCCCUGCAUCUUCCUUUCCCUUAUUGCUUUCCUUCUUCCCAUCUUGUUUAACUUUCUGAUCACAGUGCAGUCCAAGCUCAGUGUGACUGAUAAAAUAAUAUGUGGCACUUGGGAAAACUGCAGUACCUCUCUGUGACCUGUGUGGCUUGGGUUUGGAAACUGAAAGAGCACAAACUUCAGGUAUCACAGCAGUGCCCUUUUUGUUGGUGUUAAACCUCUUGGUGAAUCCCUUGUACUGACAGCUUAAGAGCCAGAUUGGUAAAUGUUGUGUGUCAGGAACAGUUUAUGUAGUUUAAAGAUUCACAUGGUUCUUCACAUUUUCUGUAUGAGGAAUUUGAAGGGGAAUUCACACUGCAAGAAAUGCUACAUUCAUUGUUGUUCUUCAGCAAAUACAGUUAACAGCAUUAAUGGAAGCCAGCAAUCAAUGUCCUUCUGUUUGCAGUGACGUUAGAAUAAGUCCUGGUUCUGUGCUUUUAAGCUUUAGCAGGGUUAGAGGACAGAACCUUUGACAAAAGCCGGAGUGUGGUGUCUUUUUGUAUUUGUUUGUAAGUGUUCAGGAGAAUAGCAGAAGAUGCUUAAUCUUCAGUUUUCAUAGAAGAACUUUUAUGGAAGUUCUAUCCUUCAAAAGCGUAGUUGCACGGAACUACACUGCAGAUAUAUUUUCUUAAUGUUUUUGGAUGGAGCUGAAAAUGUAACUCCUUUGUACAAACAUGAUCACACUGUUAGAUGUUGUGCUGGGGUUGGUAGCUGACAGUUUGAUAAAACAGCAAGAGACUUCACUGUCAUUUGUAUUGUUUUUUUUGUGAUGAUCUGAGUGUUAAAAUGAAGCUGGAGGGAGUGUCCUCUCUUUAGGCAGGUGACAUUGUGGUAACCUUCAUUACUUCCUUAAGAAGCAAGUGUUGAAGGAGAGCAGCACAAGAAAUGGUUCACUGCAGCAUAAUGCUUAGCAGCCUAAUUAGUCGAAUACCAUGUGCCUACCUCUGCAUGAAAUAACCCAUUUCUUCACAAGGUAAAAUAGGAAUUUUCAGUUUUGGAACAGCCUGAAGAGGCCUUUGUUGCAAAUGUCCGUUGGCUUUUUAACUAUUUAUUCUCAAAUAAUGAAGGUCAGCAUGGUAUCCAUAGAGACUGCAUGCAGCUUCCUCGUUAAUCUUGGC